AAUUCGCUAGUGUAAAGGUAACACACUUAGUUGCAUUAACAUAGAGAUGUGGGUUCAAGUCCCAUGCAGAUAG
rnacentral:tRNA from 1 species